rnacentral:rRNA from 1 species
GACGAACCGUGCGAACGUUGUUCGGAUUCACUGGGCUUAAAGGGCGCGUAGGCGGGCAUCCAAGUCAGGGGUGAAAGCCCCCGGCCCAACCGGGGAAGUGCCUUUGAUACUGGAUGCCUCGAGCGGGAUAGGGGCAGCUGGAACUUUCGGUGGAGCGGUGAAAUGCGUAGAUAUCGGAAGGAACGCCGGUGGCGAAAGCGAGCUGCUGGAUCCCUCCUGACGCUGAGGCGCGAAAGCCAGGGUAGCGAACGGGAUUAGAUACCCCGGUAGUCCUGGCCCUAAACGAUGGGCACCAGGCCGUGGGCUGACAUGGGCUCACAGCCGAGGCAAAAGUGUUAAGUGCCCCGCCUGGGGAGUAUGGUCGCAAGGCUGAA